GUCUGUUAUAAGGCCUUCCCCAGAGCCAACUGGACGCUGGUGCCAUGCUCCUGGAGCCUACAGAUGCUUCAAAAUAACGUCUCAAGUUUCAUGAUCUUCCUUUGAAGAAAACCUGGCAUUUUCAGAGAGCAUCUUACGUGAAGAGUCGAUUUAUAAAGCUUGACAGCUGCUGACAAUGCACAGUUCCUUGGUGAAACUGCUUCUGGGUGUGACUGCAACCUGUCUUGUUGCCUGCCUGUAACAUUCUGAUGGAUAUGAGCAUAUGACUCAAGCUGAUCUGGUUCUAUCUCACUCAAAAAAUUUUCAGGAGAAAUAAGAGUGACCUUUGCUCCUGCUCCCUGGACUUGGAGCUAUGAGCAUACUAGGGAAAUGUAGGCACCAUGAAGAAUGAUCUGGCUGGAAUAAAGCAACAUACAAGAGGCAGCCCAGCUAUCAGCCCAAGAGAGGCCUGAGAACCCUGUCUGAGCACAAGAAUCUGACCUGCCACUGACCUGAGUGUAGAUUCAUCCAUCUCUGAGACUCGAUGUUUCAUUAACACUUGAGGGAAUG
rnacentral:lncRNA from 1 species